rnacentral:rRNA from 1 species
AGACUAGAAUGAAUGGCCAAACGAGGCUCUACCUGUCUCUUACAAAUAAUCAGUGAAAUUGAUCUUCCCGUGCAAAAGCGGGGAUAACACUAUAAGACGAGAAGACCCUGUGGAACUUCAAAUAUAAAAUCAACUAUCACCAACACCCACCCACGGGCCUUAUACCAAAUAGCACCUGAUUUUUAUUUUCGGUUGGGGCGACCUCGGAACAAAACAAAACCUCCGAAAAAUAAAAAACCCUUUAAACCUAGAACAACAGUUCAAAGUGCUUCCGGCAAAACGAUCCAAUACACUUGAUCAACGAACCAAGCUACCCCAGGGAUAACAGCGCAAUCCCAUCCUAGAGUCCCUAUCGACGAUGGGGUUUACGACCUCGAUGUUGGAUCAGGACAUCCUAAUGGUGUAGCCGCUAUUAAGGGUUCGUUUGUUCAACGAUUA